GAUGAACGCUGGCGGCGUGCCUAAUACAUGCAAGUCGAGCGAACGGACGAGAAGCUUGCUUCUCUGAUGUUAGCGGCGGACGGGUGAGUAACACGUGGAUAACCUACCUAUAAGACUGGGAUAACUUCGGGAAACCGGAGCUACUACCGGAUAAUAUUUUGAACCGCAGGGUUCAAAAGUGAAAGACGGUCUUGCUGUCACUUAUAGAUGGAUCCGCGCUGCAUUAGCUAGUUGGUAAGGUAACGGCUUACCAAGGCAACGAUGCAUAGCCGACCUGAGAGGGUGAUCGGCCACACCGGAACUGAGACACGGUCCAGACUCCUACGGGAGGCAGCAGUAGGGAAUCUUCCGCAAUGGGCGAAAGCCUGACGGAGCAACGCCGCGUGAGUGAUGAAGGUCUUCGGAUCGUAAAACUCUGUUAUUAGGGAAGAACAUAUGUGUAAGUAACUGUGCACAUCUUGACGGUACCUAAUCAGAAAGCCACGGCUAACUACGUG
rnacentral:rRNA from 1 species